rnacentral:rRNA from 1 species
UACGUAGGGGGCUAGCGUUGUCCGGAAUCAUUGGGCGUAAAGAGCGCGUAGGCGGCCAGAUAAGUCCGGUGUGAAAGUCACAGGCUCAACCUGUGAAUGCCGCUGGAAACUGCCGGGCUGGAGUCCGGAAGAGGCGAGUGGAAUUCCUGGUGUAGCGGUGAAAUGCGCAGAUAUCAGGAGGAACACCAAUGGCGAAGGCAGCUCGCUGGGACGGUACUGACGCUGAGACGCGAAAGCGUGGGGAGCAAACAGG